AGCAGCCGCGGUAAUUCCAGCUCCAAUAGCGUAUAUUAAAGUUGUUGCAGUUAAAAGCUCGUAGUUGAAUUUCGAGAUCAAAUUGUUGGUCGUGCCUUGGUACGCACUGGCAUUAUUGGUUUCUCCCUUCUGACGAACCAUGAUGUCAUUAAUUUGGUGUCUUGGGGAAUCAGGACUGUUACUUUGAAAAAUUGAGUGUUUAAAGCAGGCUCACGCUUGAAUACAUCAGCAUGGAAUAAUGAAAUAGGACGUUUGAUUCUAU
rnacentral:misc_RNA from 1 species